rnacentral:rRNA from 1 species
AUUGAACGCUGGCGGCAUGCCUUACACAUGCAAGUCGAACGGUAACAGGUUAAGCUGACGAGUGGCGAACGGGUGAGUAAUGUAUCGGAACGUGCCCAGUCGUGGGGGAUAACUGCUCGAAAGAGCAGCUAAUACCGCAUACGACCUGAGGGUGAAAGCGGGGGAUCGCAAGACCUCGCGCGAUUGGAGCGGCCGAUAUCAGAUUAGGUAGUUGGUGAGGUAAAGGCUCACCAAGCCGACGAUCUGUAGCUGGUCUGAGAGGACGACCAGCCACACUGGGACUGAGACACGGCCCAGACUCCUACGGUAGGCAGCAGUGGGGAAUUUUGGACAAUGGGCGCAAGCCUGAUCCAGCCAUGCCGCGUGCGGGAAGAAGGCCUUCGGGUUGUAAACCGCUUUUGUCAGGGAAGAAAAGGUUCUGGCUAAUACCUGGGACUCAUGACGGUACCUGAAGAAUAAGCACCGGCUAACUACGUG